rnacentral:rRNA from 1 species
CCUACGGGAGGCAGCAGUGAGGAAUAUUGGUCAAUGGACGAGAGUCUGAACCAGCCAAGUAGCGUGAAGGAUGACUGCCCUAUGGGUUGUAAACUUCUUUUAUAUGGGAAUAAAAUGUGUCACGUGUGGGCUUUUGUAUGUACCAUAUGAAUAAGGAUCGGCUAACUCCGUGCCAGCAGCCGCGGUAAUACGGAGGAUCCGAGCGUUAUCCGGAUUUAUUGGGUUUAAAGGGUGCGUAGGCGGAAUGUAAAGUCAGCGGUAAAAUCGCGGGGCUCAACCUAGCACCGCCGUUGAAACUGGCGUUGUUGAGUGGGCGAGAAGUGUGCGGAAUGCGUGGGGUAGCGGUGAAAUGCAUA